AGCAGUGUGGCCUACUGGAAAGAGCUUGGCCUUAGGAGUCAGAAGAACUGGGUUCUAAUCCCAGGUCUGCUG
rnacentral:tRNA from 1 species